CUUGCCAUGUGGUUUCUGAGCCAUCUCUCUCUCUCUCAUCUCUCUUUGGCCAGGCGGGCAGGAAGACCUAUGCCAUGGUGUCCGGCCACUCAGCUGGUCAUUCUCUGGCUUCAGAACUGGUGGAGUCCCAUGAUGGACAUGAGGAAAUCAUUAAGGUGUACUUGAAGGGGAGGUCUGGAGAAAAGAUGAUUCACGAGAAGAAUAUUAACCAGCUGAAGAGUGAGGUCCAGUACAUCCAGGAGGCCAGGAACUGCCUACAGAAGCUCCGGGAGGAUAUAAGUAGCAAGCUUGACAGGGACCUAGGAGAUUCUCUCCAUCGACAGGAGAUACAGGUAAUAGGAAAUGGUCCAUGGUUGGGUCCCCACCGAGGAGGUGGGGUUGUGCCAGGCAGUCUCAUUUACCAAUUACCCAGUGUGUGCUAAAUCUAGCAUCCCUGCCAGGAAUGGAGAAAAUAGAGGUGAUGCUGCCUUCUCUGGAGCACUCACAAUCUAGUUAGUACUCUCCAGCCGAUGAGCACUUACAUUUACACAUGUCAGCUUAAACAUAAGUACACCUGCUCCUGAAACACUGUACAGAAAUUGAACUUAUAUAAAUUAAAUAUCAUCAGUUGUUAGCAAAGCCUCUUAUCUAUAAAGAUUCUGUGAUCAAGCUUCUUAUAAUAAUAGAAUUUUAUAAAGCAGACAAUCACCUGUAAAUCCACACUUCUCAUAAGCCGAUCUUGCUUAGUUUGGGUGAUACCU
rnacentral:sRNA from 1 species